rnacentral:rRNA from 1 species
GACGAACGCUGGCGGCGUGCUUAACACAUGCAAGUCGAACGGUAAGGCCCUUCGGGGUACACGAGUGGCGAACGGGUGAGUAACACGUGGGUGAUCUGCCCUGCACUUCGGGAUAAGCCUGGGAGACUGGGUCUAAUACCGGAUAGGACCCUGGGAUGCAUGUCCUGGGGGGGAAAGCUUUUGUGGUGUGGGAUGGGCCCGCGGCCUAUCAGCUUGUUGGUGGGGUGAUGGCCUACCAAGGCGACGACGGGUAGCCGGCCUGAGAGGGUGACCGGCCACACUGGGACUGAGAUACGGCCCAGACUCCUACGGGAGGCAGCAGUGGGGAAUAUUGCACAAUGGGCGCAAGCCUGAUGCAGCGACGCCGCGUGAGGGAUGACGGCCUUCGGGUUGUAAACCUCUUUCAGCACCGACGAAGCGCAAGUGACGGUAGGUGCAGAAGAAGGACCGGCCAACUACGUGCCAGCCGCCGCGGUAA